rnacentral:lncRNA from 1 species
CCCUGCACCAGCCCCUACUUGGUCUGGCUGUGUUGGCUUCUCUAGGAAGAAAGCCCCUUGGGAGCUGGACCGUGGAUCAAGUUUGGCUGUUACUCUCCAAGCACCUAACCCAUGUCUGGGCAUAUAGUAGGUGCUAAGUAAAACCUGAAUGACUCAGAGCUCAAAAGGAGGCCAUGCGGGAUAUGGUUAACAUCACUGGGGUGCAGUUCUGAUUCUAUCUCGGAUGAGCUGGGGGUGGGGGAACUUGGGCAAACCGUUUAACCUGCCUGAGCGUCUGCUCUUCUGUCUGGAUAAUGGAGAUAACCACACUGGGUUCUGGGGGUUUGAGGAGUUAAAGGUCUGAAAGGCAAGGCUACGGCCCUGCACACAGAUCUGGCCCCCACAGAGCUGUCCCUCCCUCUCGUACAGUAAUGCAGCAAAACGAGGAAAACAGUGACAACGUAUUUGUGCUGUGUGGCAGGCAUUCUCCUCAUAUUAGCUCAUUCUCAGCGUGGCUGUCCCCCGAUAAGGCUGUGUGUCUUUGAAGGCAGGGGCUCUGCUUUAUGUGCCAUGCCUGACACUUGUCAGUCUCCUGGGGACAGGCCCUGGGUUGGAAGAGGAUGCUAUGGUUUGGCUGUGUUCCCACCCAAAUUGCAUCUGGAAUUGUAGCUCCCAUAAUCCCCACGUGUCAUGAGAGGGACCAGUUAGAGAUAAUUGAAUCGUGGGGGCGGUUUCCCCCAUCCUGUUCUUGUGAUAGGGAGUUAGUUCUCACGAGAUCUGAUGGUUUUAUAAGGGGGGGUUUCCCCUUUGCUAGGCACUCAUUCUCUCCCCUGCCGCCCUGUGAAGAGGUGCCUUCUGCCAUGACUAUAAGUUUCCUGAGGCCUCCUCAGCCAUGUGGAACGGUGAGUCAACGAAACCUCUUUCCUUUAUAAAUUACCCAGUCUCAGGCAUUUCUUUUUUUUUGAGACGGGGUCUUGCUAUGUUGCCCAAGCUAGCUGUGAACUCCUGGGCUCAAGCAAUCCUCCCACCUCAGCCUCCCAAAGUGCUGGGAUUACAGGUGUGAGCCACCACGCCCAGCCUCAGGCAAUUCUUUAUAGCACCAUGAGAACAGACUAACAGAUGGGAAAGGAAGGGAAAUCACUUCCUGUGAGCAAAUGGGAGCAUGCCCUGUCCACCUCUGCUCCCCAUUUCAGCAGAAAAUGGGGCUUAAGCUCCUUGAGGGCAGGGGCUAUACUUACUGGCCCCACCGUCUUGCACAGAGCAGGCCUUUGGCAAGUAUCUAUUGAAUCAACAAAGGGCAGGGUGGUGGUGGGACUUGCAUGAGGUUAGAUAUGUAAGGCAUCUGGCACAUAGGUGUGCUAAUAGUCACUGGAUGGAUGGAUGGAUGGAUGGAUGGACGGACGGACGGACAGAUGGACGGACAGAGAGACAGGUUGGGAGCAUGACACAUGGCCGAGUUGCAGCCUUGGGAAUUCCCCUCCAAGGAUGCCAUAGCUGAAUCCCCUGGGAGGAUGGGCGGGUACCUGUCUGCGGAGCCUUUGAUGAGCCGGCGGCAGGUCUCCAUCUGCACGUCCAGGCCUCGCUUCAUGCUGCACAUCUCCAUGUACUCGUGCAGGUGUCGGUUCAUGUCACUUUUGGCUGUGGCCAGCUCGAGCUGGGAGGAACCAAUGAGGAAUAAGGGUGAGGGCAAGUCAUCCUCGUGACAGAAGCCUCGGCAACCUCUCCUCCUGGAUUCCUCAGGGAUGGUGCCAUCAAGGCCACCAUUGGACACCAUGCCAUCAGGACCCUGCCUCCGGACAUCAACCUCCCUCACCCUCUGCUCUCUGCACAUGGGUCCACUUCCCCUAGAACUCCUUCUGGCCAAAGGGGAAUGGUUGCUUAGCAACCCCAGCAGCAGCCUGGCUCUGAUGCACCCCACCCGGUUCUGAGAACUCAACAUCUUUGGGUUCCUUUAUCCAGACCUGAUUACAAAAAUCCUGAAGGCUUUUUCAUGUUUCUGACUCUUGUCCUCUAUCAAGUGAUACUUCCUCUAGGGAAGGAGCUGGGCUUCCCUUUCUCCUGCAUAAUAGCAAUGACUAUCGUUUAUAGAAGUGAUCACAUGCACAGCCUCUGGAGCCAGAGAGAAUUAUACUUCAAUGCUGCUUCCUGGCCGCAAGGCCUUGGGCAAGUCACUUGGUCCUUUCCAGCCUCAUCUCCUCCUCUGUAAAAGGGGUGCACGGUGCCUACUGCAUAGGGCACAGGUGAGGAAACAGAGGCUCAGAGGGAUUCAGUGGCCUUC